rnacentral:rRNA from 1 species
UAGAUACCCUGGUAGUCCGCACAGUAAACGAUGUACACUAGGUGUUGGGGUAAGACUCAGUGCCGCAAGCAAACGCAAUAAGUGUACCGCCUGGGGAGUAUGCCCGCAAGGGUGAAACUCAAAGGAAUUGACGGGGGCCCACACAAGCGGUGGAGCAUGUGGUUUAAUUCGAUGAUACGCGAGGAACCUUACCUGGGUUUGACAUCAAGAGGGAUACUAUAGAGAUAUGGUAGCGUAGCAAUACGUCUCU